AACGUAGGGGGCAAGCGUUGCCCGGAUUCACUGGGCGUAAAGCGGGUGUAGGCGGUUCCUUAAGUCAGGUGUGAAAUCCUGCGGCUCAACCGCGGAACUGCAUCUGAUACUGGGGAACUUGAGGACGGUAGAGGUCGGUGGAAUCCCCUGUGUACCGGUGAAAUGGGCAGAUAUAGGGGGGAACACCAGUGGCGAAGGCGGCCGACUGGGCCGAUCCUGACGCUGAGACCCGAAAGCCAGGGUAGCGAACCGG
rnacentral:rRNA from 1 species